UACGGAGGGGGCUAGCGUUGUUCGGAAUUACUGGGCGUAAAGCGCACGUAGGCGGCUUUGUAAGUUAGAGGUGAAAGCCCAGGGCUCAACCCUGGAAUUGCCUUUAAGACUGCAUCGCUAGAAUUGUGGAGAGGUAAGUGGAAUUCCGAGUGUAGAGGUGAAAUUCGUAGAUAUUCGGAAGAACACCGGUGGCGAAGGCGGCAUCCUGGACCAAUUCUGACGCUGAGGAGCGAAAGCCAGGGGAGCAAACGGG
rnacentral:rRNA from 1 species